CCUGCCUCAGGUGAUCCCCCUGCCUCAGUCUCCCAAAGUGCUGGGAUUACAGGUGUGAGCCACCACCCCCGGCUGAGCUGAAGCAUUUUUAAGAGCAAUACAUUCUCAUUGUUGUGCAACCACUGUCACCAUCUGAUAUGGUUUGGCUCUCUGUCCCCACCGAAAUCUCAUCUCUAAUUGUAAUCCCCACAUGUCAAGGGAGGUACCUGGUGAGAGGUGAAUGAGCUCCAUGCAGUUCUUGUGAUAGUGAGUUCUCAUGAGGUCUGAUGGUGUAAAAGUGGCAAGAAUGCAUUCAGCAUUCUUCCUACAUGUACAUACUGAACACCUACUGUGUACCACGCACUGUUCCAGGCACUGGGGAGUCCAGGGCUGAACGCAGCAGACAAAAACCCCGGCCUUCACAGACCUUUCAUUUGCAUAUAUCAUCUCAUUUAAUCCUCGAGACAGCCUUGAUGAGGUAGCGUCAUUAUACAAAUAAGGAAAGCAACAGACAGAGAGAACUUAAGAGGCAUGUCCAAGGUUACCCAGCAGGUAAGGGAGUGUCUGGAUUAGAACCUGGACAGCCUGGCUUGAGAAUUUGAAUUGUUAGCUGCUGUUACUGCCCAUCAGUGGCAGAAGGACCCAGAGGUGAAGACGUGGCAACAGAGGCAGGGUGGCAUGGACAGGGGACACACAGGCCUGGCGGGUGGUCACAGAGCCAGGAUCAGGCCUUCUGCGGGUUCCACAGGGCGUCCACCUGCUGGCCUCUGCACUGAGUUCCCUUGAGGUCAUCUGGAUCCCAGGCCCUCUGGCCUUCCCAGCUCAACAACUUUGGCCUGGGAGAGCCCUCUUUUCCUCAGCUGACAGCUGAUGAUCGUUGGCUGGGCUUGGUGGGAGGUAAGGAGGUAACCAGCAGUUUUCUUUCUGCGAUGGUGAGAGGCCGCCUUAGGAGCAGACAGCUGAGAAAACACAGACCUGGGCUGGCCGGCCCCACCCUCAGCUGAGCCUGCCCUGUGUAAAUGCAGGUGUUGUCAAGUCAGCAGACAGGCCUAGCUCCCUUUUCCCGUGAGGCCCCCUGCACCAGGCCCGUGACUCAGUUGCUCUGGCUGAUGAGGAGCUUGGGCCUGGGAAAGGUGUCCCACAGUCCCAGCCUGGUCCGUCCUCAGCCCUGGAUUGAUGUCCACACUGCCCUGGGACCGUCUCAGCGCCCUGGUGGGGAGCCUGCUUUCUCCUCUGUCCUAUCUCUUGGGCUCAGGCAUGUGGCUCCUGCCCCUUUGGGGCUACUUCAAGUAUGUAUCAGGCCCCUGCUGUGUGCUGGCCCCAGGCUGGCACUCGGGACCCUCCUCGGUUGGGCGUAGAGACACAGACGGCCCUCACUGGCUGGGAGCCAAGGUGAGUGUGUGAAGGGCCCUUGGUCUCCCCCGCGGAAGGCUCUACCCUCUGGCCCUGCCCGCUCUUGGCUCUCACUCCUACCGGGCCAUCUCCCUUCCCUUUUCCUCAGGUGCCUCCGUUUCUCUCUGACUUCUUGCCCGGUUUCCCCAGCUCUGAGAGAUUGCCUGCCUUCAAGUGCAGGAGAAAGCGGGCAUCUCCCCACAAACUCGACCCCCAGCCCCCAGUAGAGCUGGCCAGCCACCUGCCACAGAGCAGACCUCUGGUGCCUUGGCCAGCGUGCUCGUGGUGCCAGUCCGCUGUCUCAGCCACGUUCCCCUGCUCCGCUGCCCACAACAGGCCUGAGAUGACCUACUGUCGGACAUCUCUGAACAGAGGGGCUUUCUACAGGCCCUCCCUCACCAUCCCCCAUGCUCCCGAGCCUGCCCCUGCUGCAGUCACCUCCUUCUGGGUGCCCCUCUGAGAUUCCAGACAGAGCUCAGGAGCCCCCAGGUUCCCAUUGUGAUGCAAGAACAGAACAGGACCCUGGGCUGCAGGCAGGUGGCCUGUCAGUAUCCCUCCUCCCACCCUCAGCAAACACUGGCACACCCCCCUCUCCCUGCAUCGGGGUCUGAGUGCCUGGCAGUGGCGGCAGUGGAGAUGAUCAAGGUCAGCUCACCCAGCCCCGUGCUGAGGCAACAGCCCAUCUGGGGAGGGAAGCAGGGUGGGAGGAGACGCCAACCUUUUGAAAAGGAAGUUGAUUCACUUAUGUCAGGGCAGGGAAAGUAGGAAUACAUACUCUUCGAAAUGUAACAAUUACUGACCGGGCACAGUGGCUCACACCUGUAAUCCUCGCACUUUGGGAGGCUGAGGUGGGGAAGAUUGCUUGAGGCCAGGAAUUCAAGGCCAGCCUGGGUAAUAUGGCAAGACCCGGUUUAUACAUU